GUAUCACUGCUGCUGUGAAAAACAGUAGGAAAAUCAAAUGUGCUGCUUUGUGGUGUUUCUGCUCCCACCAGGAAAAACUGCUUUCUCAGGAGAACCUUCCUGGCUUCCCGCUGGUGCCAGCAGACAGGGACUCUUACAGAGAAGGCUGGGAGGCUGCAAGCCCUGCUGAGUGCCUUGCUCCAUUCCCCAAAUAGAAGUGCUCAGCAGUCACUGCUCCAAACAAGGUGCUUGGCAAAGGCAGCUGUUACUUGGCAGUCUGCCUGGUGCCCCGAAAUAACGCUGCUGGCUGAGAGUGAACCUGCUGCAUCACCACUGCUUUCAGGAAACCAAGCACCCCAUCGGGAUGGAUAAGCAAACAGAACACAGUCCUCCCCUUCCUACAGAGCAAUUGGAAAUAAGGAGUAAAUCUUUUCCAUAAUGAAGAUAUAUGCUGUAUGUAGGAUUUUCAUGUGCCCAGCACUGCUCUGCUUCUGUUGAAAAGGAUGGAAAACCACCUUGAAACCACUGCAAUAAAAACCAGGUGAAUUCCGAGCGCUCCUGAAAGUUUCAUCAUUUAGCAUUAGCCACAGAAAGCAUGAUUAAGCUUCUGUGGUGGGAGUUUAAGCAGGGCAAACAAAAAGACAACUGUAGCUGUUGCGAAUAGUUCAAUAUAAACGUAUUCCAGUAUAAACAUGUCCAAAAUAUGCUUUGGUCUCUGCAAGCAGAGAAGGUUCACAU
ensembl:lncRNA